rnacentral:lncRNA from 1 species
CAGCAGGCCCAAGAGGAGGAGGAGGCAGGAGCAGAUUUGCUCUGCUAAGUCAAGAACCCUUCCCCGGGUGGCAUCAGAUUUCAUCUGGCCAAGCUGACAGAGAAGUGAUUAGCAGUCUAAAGGAUACCAACUCCACCUUGGAAAGAAGAGCCAGCUAUGUGACCAGCGAGACUCCGAGCACAUGACGUUCACUUUAUGAAUCAAAUGUCCCGCCUGGUGGCUCCAACAGGACCAGGAUGAGGCACCACAGGGCAAGGCAUCAGAGGACUACACAAACCCAGGUGUGCCAUCUCACAGAAAAGCCACUAGAAAGUCUCACGGUAACAAAGAGCCAACAGGUGCUGAUCUAGAGAAAGGUCUCCUGUAGCCAAGGUUGGCCUUGAACUCCAAUUCUCUUCCUGUCACUUCCUGAGUACUGGAAUUACUGACGCGCGCCACAGGCUGGUUGAUGUGGCGCUGAGGACUGGCCACAGGCAAGCACUCAAUCAACUCAGCUACCUUCCAGACCAGCACUUAUUUCUACCAGGAAGAUCACGGAGAUGACUCGACAGUGCCAGAGUGCUGACUGGUUCAUCGGUGUCCCAACAACUCUGGGUGCUGAAGACGGUUUCCCAGCUAGCCCCUGACAGAGAGGGGUGGGAGAAGCCGGCUUCUUUCCUGGAGGCCAGCUGACAUUCAGGAGAGGGAUUGGAGGGUUCUGCAUCUGCAGGAGAGUGGAACACAAAGGGGCUGUGUGGAAAUUUGGCAGACUGUACCAGACAGGCAGCCCAUGAAUGCUGAAUCCUGCUGCACCUACCAGGGCCCAUCCUUGGGAAAUAUUUCCCUUCUGUGACCCCCAAGAAGCAAUGAUAAGUGCACGAAAG